GGGUUGAUGCCCGAGCGGUUAAUGGGGACGGACUGUAAUUGGCGAUAUGUCUACGCUGGUGCAAAUCCAGCUCGACCCA
rnacentral:tRNA from 1 species